rnacentral:rRNA from 1 species
AGUGAACGCUGGCGGUAGGCCUAACACAUGCAAGUCGAACGGUAGCACAUUUAGAGCUUUCUAUUACGGGUGACGAGUGGCGUACGGGUUAGGAAUACAUCGGAAUCUACUUUUUCGUGGGUGAUAACGUAGGGAAACUUACGCUAAUACCGCAUACUACCUACGGGUGAAAUCAGGGGAUCUUCGGACCUUGCGCGAUUGCAUGAGCCGUUGUCGGAUUAGCUAGUUGGCGGGGUAAAGGCCCACCGAGGCGACGAUCCGUAGCUGGUCUGAGAGGAUGAUCAGCCACACUGGAAAUGAGACACGGUGCAGAAUCCUAAGGGAGGCAGCAGUGGGGAAUAUUGGAGAAUGGGCGCAAGCCUGAUCCAGCCAUACCGCGUGGGUGAAGAAGGCCUUCGGGUUGUAAAGCACUUUUGUUGGGAAAGAAAAGCAGCAGGUUAAUACCCAGCAGUUCUGACGGUACCCAAAGAAUAAGCACCGGCUAACUUCGUG